AUUGAACGCUGGCGGCAUGCCUUACACAUGCAAGUCGAACGGCAGCAUGAUCUAGCUUGCUAGAUUGAUGGCGAGUGGCGGACGGGUGAGUAAUACAUCGGAACGUGCCCUGUUGUGGGGGAUAACUAGUCGAAAGAUUAGCUAAUACCGCAUACGACCUGAUGGUGAAAGUGGGGGACCGCAAGGCCUCAUGCUAUAGGAGCGGCCGAUGUCUGAUUAGCUAGUUGGUGAGGUAAAGGCUCACCAAGGCGACGAUCAGUAGCUGGUCUGAGAGGACGAUCAGCGACACUGGGACUGAGACACGGCCCAGAGGCCUACGGGAGGCAGCAGUGGGGAAUGUUGGGCAGUGGGCGAAAGCCUGAUCCAGCAAGGCCGCGUGUGUGAAGAAGGCGUUCGGGUUGGAAAGCAGUUUUGUCCGGAAAGAAAUGGCUCUGGUUAAUACCUGGGGUCGAUGACGGUACCGGAAGAAGAAGGACCGGCUAACUACGUG
rnacentral:rRNA from 1 species